ACCAGGAUGCGUACAUGUUUUCGUCGAAUCACCCGUUUCUGAAAAUUUAGGCAGGCAUACCCAAAAAUCUGGCAUCCCUGGAAACGAGAAACGUCACAACAAACAGUUUUAAAAGUCGGUCAAGUCAAAAUUACUCCCGAAUAAGAAUUUUUCGAAAAAAUUGAACGGUGACCGAUACGGAAUCGGUGCUGCUGCAGGCGUUCAAGGAAAGGAAUCGAGUCAAAAAAUGUAAAGUGCCUGACGUGUUGGCGAGAUGGAGAAAUGCUUGGUGGAACUAGUCAGGACACAACACAGUGUCCGGACCACGAUCGCUGUUGUCCUUGGGGUGUCUUUAAAUCCGUUGAAGACGGAAUUGGUCAGUUAAAACUCGCCGGCCAAGCUGGACAAGACCAAAGACAGCAGUGGAGCAGAAGCAACACAUCAAAUGCUGUAAUUUAUCAACGAUCCAGCUCAACGUUUGUUGAUUUUUAAAAGUGUACCGAGUGUGUUUGCAAAUGUCUUCGGGAUGGCAAACUACUGUUCUGCUCAGACUGGCAGAAUGCUUUUCACUAGUCAAGGAAGCAAGCGCUACCGUUGGGCAGCCGUCAGUGUUAACGAAGUCCCUCAACACUUCACUGGGUUCUGGUCAGCUGCGUCAUUACCAGCUGAUUAAGUUCACUAGGAAGCAGACCAAGACAGUCACCAACGACAAGAGUAUCGUUCAAAUCCGAGGACCUUCUGCUAACCUCCCGCCGUUCAUGAGGUUUCUUGCGCAAAGCAUAACUAUUUAUGUUCAGGUGAGUACAUUCCGCAUUGUAAUUAUCACUUCCUCAUUAAAAAAAACUUUAAGUAUCGGCU